UACGUAGGUGGCAAGCGUUGUCCGGAUUUAUUGGGCGUAAAGGGCGUGCAGGCGGUCUGUUAAGUCUAGGGUGAAAGCUCCCGGCUCAACUGGGAGAGGUCCUUGGAUACUGGCGGACUUGAGGGAGGCAGAGGAAAGUGGAAUUCCCGGUGUAGUGGUGAUAUGCGUAGAUAUCGGGAGGAACACCAGUGGCGAAGGCGGCUUUCUGGGCCUUACCUGACGCUGAGACGCGAAAGCGUGGUGAGCAAACAGG
rnacentral:rRNA from 1 species